rnacentral:rRNA from 1 species
AGCCACAGCCAUAUCACCCUGCAGCCCAAGACCGGUUACUCACUAAAGCUAAAGCAGGGCUGAGCUUGGUCAGUACCUGGAUGGGAGACCACUAGGGAACACUAGGUUGCUGUUGGAA